CAGGAUCUCGCCAAAAGGAUUGGAACAUCACACUCUGCAUGGUUGAAGCUGGGGCUAUGAUGGAAAUAUUGCUGAUUAUACAUCCAGGUUCUGAUCCUCAGUGGCUUCUGUCCCUUGUCUCAUCCAUCCAUCCAUCACUGUUGCUUCACCUUCUCUCAAUAUUCUCUUUUCACCCUAAAGAUGUUGGUCUCCUGGGAAAUUAAUUGUUGGACUUCUGUGCAAUUGCAAUUAUUGCUCUCCUGUGCAAUCAUUCAUUCCAUUAUGUAUGAAGUAAGCCUGUUGUGAACAGCAGAUUUCAGUUACACAGCAUAUACCAGCUGAUGAUUUUAUACAGCGUGCAAAACAGAAUGAAAAGACUCACUCCCUCCUCUGUUUUGACUGCUAGCCAAUCAGGAUGAAGAAAAGCUUGUGACAGAGUGGUAAUUAUUCGGCAAUCACAGCAGAAAUCGCAAUCCAUUUCAUGCUGUAGUAUUUUCUGUAAUACGUGACCUAAGGCACAAAUAUAUUGAGAGAACGUAA